rnacentral:lncRNA from 8 species
AGUCUCAACAUGUAGAUGCUGGGGUGCCUGCACCUGCACCUGCGCCAGGUACAUUUGUAGAGAUAAAACAUUUCGAUACGGUAGCGCUGUGUCAUCUUAGGACACAUUGCAGCAGUACAAGACGACAUGCAAGAAUGAGAGAGAACAUACAGUAGAUACGAAUUGGACCACCUUUUGAGCAUGUCGUUUUUUCUAACAUAUACUUUAAUAAAGCGUUCCUUCAAGCAACAGGUUCUUGAAUACAUGAAACAUAUCAUAACGUAUGUAGGUUCUGUAUGAAUGUGCGUUGUUGUAUGUUGCAGUUCCCGCCUGUCAACCCACACCAGUCUACUGGCCAUCAUCAUCUCCUGGCUGGUACUUGCAUCAUAUAUUCACAGACAAUCCAUUUCCACCUACACCCAUGACAGGUAUUUGGUAUUAUUUUAAUUCUUGCCCAUCAGGCAUUUAAUGUCAACAUUAACAAUAUUUAAAUGUGCCUGACAUUUUGUUUUGCAGAGCUCUGUGUUGUUAUUUGGGCGAGGAGUUUCUCCUGACCAUAUGACUAGACCAGGAAAACUUCCAGGCCCUAGUUACUAGGGCUGAGAGUUAUUUGCUUCAUAGCCUCUGUUUACUGUAUGUCCUUACGUCCUUAUGUCUGGUGCUUCUCACCUCAAAGAUCUUGUGAUUACAAAAAAUACAUGUAAAAGCCCUUUAUUAUUUUCAAUUACAUUCUGUCACAUGAAUUAGUUUUCGUGCACCAUAUUUUAUAACUUCAGUACCAUUUAAGUACAGUACAUGGUUACCAAGUACGCAAUGAAAAAACUUUUUUUUCAUCAUCUCCACUGCCCAUUCCAACAGCUCAUCCAGCUCAGCCGUUUUAUCAAGCUCCUCCAGCUUAUCAAGUUUAUCAAGCUCCUCCAAUUUAUCAAGCUCCUCCAGUUCAACCAGCACCAGCUCAACCAGCUCAUCCAACAGCUCCAGUUCAACCAGCUCAACCAGCACCAGCUCAUCCAACAGCUACCGUUCAACCAGCUCAUCCAACAGCUCCAGUUCAACCAGUUCAACCAGCACCAGCUCAACCAGCUCAUCCAACAGCUCCAGUUCAACCAGCUCAACCAGCACCAGCUCAUCCAACAGCUACCGUUCACCCGGCUGAACCAGUACCUGGACCUGCACCAGCUCCAUCGACUCAAGAACCACAGGCUCCCAAAGAAAAGGCUGCCUCCACAAAGAAGGGUACGAACAUAUUGUGUUGAUUCAAAGGGAUACACUUAUGUAACUUGUUCAUGUCUGAUCGGAACAUAUUCUUCUUUACUCUUAGUUCCAAAGGAAAAGACCAAGGCAUCUGCCUCAAAGACGGGUAAGAGACUCUCUACAUACCAAAUCAUCCUUCACACUAACUGA